AUUGAACGCUGGCGGCAGGCCUAACACAUGCAAAUCGAGCGAGCGGCGGACGGGUGAGAAAUGUAUGUGGGCUGCACGAUAGAGGGGGAUAACUACUGGAAACGGUAGCUAAUACCGCAUACUAUCGGAUAACCCAUAUGGGAGUAGCUAGUAGGGGAGGUAAUGGCUCACCAAGGCAACGAUCCGUAGCUGGUUUGAGAGAAGGACCAGCCACACUGGGACUGAGACACGGCCCAGACUCCUACGGAGGCAGCAGUGGGGAAUAUUGCACAAUGGGCGCAAGCCUGAUGCAGCCAUGCCGCGUGUAUGAAGAAGGCCCUAGGGUUGUAAAGUACUUUCAGUCGGGAGGCGUUACCGACAGAAGAAGCACCGGCUAACUCCGUGCCAGCAGCCGCGGUAAUUC
rnacentral:rRNA from 1 species